UGGAGGGGGAUAACUACUGGAAACGGUAGCUAAUACCGCAUAACGUCUUCGGACCAAAGUGGGGGACCUUCGGGCCUCAUGCCAUCAGAUGUGCCCAGAUGGGAUUAGCUAGUAGGUGGGGUAACGGCUCACCUAGGCGACGAUCCCUAGCUGGUCUGAGAGGAU
rnacentral:rRNA from 1 species